rnacentral:rRNA from 1 species
GAUGAACGCUGGCGGCGUGCCUAAUACAUGCAAGUCGAGCGAACAGACGAGGAGCUUGCUCCUCUGACGUUAGCGGCGGACGGGUGAGUAACACGUGGAUAACCUACCUAUAAGACUGGGAUAACUUCGGGAAACCGGAGCUAAUACCGGAUAAUAUAUUGAACCGCAUGGUUCAAUAGUGAAAGACGGUUUUGCUGUCACUAUAAGAGGAAUCCCCGCGGAAUUAGCUAGUUGGUAAGGUAACGGCUUACCAAGGCAACGAUGCGUAGCCGACCUGAGAGGGUGAUCGGCCACACUGGAACUGAGACACGGUCCAGACUCCUACGGGAGGCAGCAGUAGGGAAUCUUCCGCAAUGGGCGAAAGCCUGACGGAGCAACGCCGCGUGAAUGAUGAAGGUCUUCGGAUCGUAAAACUCUGUUAUUAGGGAAGAACAAAUGUGUAAGUAACUAUGCACGUCUUGACGGUACCUAAUCAGAAAGCCACGGCUAACUACGUG